GAUGAACGCUGGCGGCGUGCCUAACACAUGCAAGUCGAACGAAGCACUUUAGCUUGAUUCUUCGGAUGAAGGCUAUUGUGACUGAGUGGCGGACGGGUGAGUAACGCGUGGGUAACCUGCCUCAUACAGGGGGAUAACAGUUAGAAAUGACUGCUAAUACCGCAUAAGACCACGGAGUCGCAUGACUCAGUGGGAAAAACUCUGGUGGUAUGAGAUGGACCCGCGUCUGAUUAGGUAGUUGGUGGGGUAACGGCCUACCAAGCCGACGAUCAGUAGCCGACCUGAGAGGGUGACCGGCCACAUUGGGACUGAGACACGGCCCAAACUCCUACGGGAGGCAGCAGUGGGGAAUAUUGCACAAUGGGGGAAACCCUGAUGCAGCGACGCCGCGUGAGCGAAGAAGUAUUUCGGUAUGUAAAGCUCUAUCAGCAGGGAAGAAAAUGACGGUACCUGACUAAGAAGCACCGGCUAAAUACGUGCCAGCCGCCGCAGUAAGAC
rnacentral:rRNA from 1 species